rnacentral:lncRNA from 1 species
GGAGACGCAGCCUCGGCCUGGGGAUAGUGCCUUGUCCCUGGCUCCUGGAGCACAGCAUGCAUGUGAGGCUGCUGCAGGCUUCAGUGAUGAGAUUCUCAUCUUCCCCUCUGGGGACCGUGCACCUGGACGUGAAGAUGGUGUGGUGUGGAGAGGUGCUGUGAGGUGGGGAAGGGGUGGACCAGGGGCCCAGCUGCCCUGCACGUGUAAAACCCACCCGCCAGCCGUUCUGAGUCCUGAUGAGAACAGCGGAUGUCUUCCAAAUCCAACUCUGCUUUCCACACAGGAUCCGCUGAAAUCAGCAUCAUCCCCAGAGGGACAAGGAGAGCCGUGGGUGUCUAAAAACAAUACAUCAGGUGCAUUUAUGAAAGGGCACACAGGGAAACCCACUCCCGCAAACUUGCCCUGUUACUGGACAGCUGAACAGUCCGAACAGAAGAGGACACCUUUUCUUGGUGAAGAUCGCAGAGACGCAGACGUCUUCUCUUUUGCCCGACACCGUCCGGGUGGCCGUGGGCCGCUUGGUCAGAUCCACCCACACUUCCGGCCAGGCAGCCAGCCCCCUACGAAUUGACAACUGUAUGCGGUUAUUGGGUCCUGUCUAUAAAUUUUGGCCCACCCAAACAGUGGGGUACCGCGGGUAGGAGAAAACAUUAGAGCAAGAGACGGUAUGUUUGCUGUAGGUUCUUACUUGCCUAGAAACUCCCGGAAGAGACCCACGAAGUGAUGCCUAGUGGUCACCUCUGGGGGGCAGUGCUGAGCACAGGACAGAUGAAGCCCGAGGUGCAGGGGGAGUUU